GUAGUCGUGGCCGAGUGGUUAAGGCGAUGGACUAGAAAUCCAUUGAGCUCUGCUGCGCAGGUUCGAAUCCUGCCGACUACG
rnacentral:tRNA from 1 species